rnacentral:tRNA from 1 species
GUCAACUUGGCAGAUAAUGCAUUAGAUUUAGGAUCUACUUAUAAAGGUGAAAGUCCUUUAGCUGAUA